rnacentral:rRNA from 1 species
CCGGAGUGGCGCAUGACAAUGCAACUCGAGCUUGAUGCUCUUCGCCAGAAUGGUACUUGGACGUUGGUGCCUCCUCCACCUCAUGUGAACAUCAUUGAUUGCAAGUGGGUGUUCAAGAUCAAGCACAAAUUUGAUGGGACUGUAGAUCGUUACAAGGCACGUCUGGUAGCUAAGGGGUUCAAACAGCAUUACGGUUUGGACUAUGAUGAUACGUUCAGCCCUGUCGUUAAACCUUUCACAAUGCGACUCGUUCUCUCCAUUGAAGUGUCUCGUGGCUGGUGUUUGCGACAAUUGGAUGUUCAAAAUACCUUCCUUCAUGGCAUUCUUCAAGAAGAGGUAUACAUGCGUCAACCUCCUGGUUUUGUGAACCCCUCAGCUCCUCAUCAUUUGUGCAAACUUCGCAAAGCUCUCUAUGGACACAAACAGGCUCCUCGAGCAUGGUAUUCUCGGUUGAGUUCUCGGCUCCAACAACUUGGUUUUAUAGCAUCCAAAGCUGACACGUCUCUUUUUGUCUACAACCGAAGUGGUGUUACCAUUUUCAUGCUUGUGUAUGUGGACGACAUCAUCGUGGCCAGCUCCUCUCCUACUGCUACCACCAAGCUACUUGCUGAUCUUCAGGCCUCCUUUGCUCUCAAAGACCUCGGCCCUUUACAUUAUUUUCUUGGAGUACACGUGGAGUCAUCGCCAGGGGGAAUUAUUCUGUCUCAGCAGAAGUAUAUCAGCGAUAUUCUCCAUCGUGCUAACAUGGACAAUUGUAACAUCUCUACCACGCCCAUGUCCUCCAGUGAGAAGAUCAGCAAGGAUAGUGGAUCACCACUUUCUCAGGAUGACAGCACC